rnacentral:rRNA from 1 species
UACGGGGGGGGCAAGCGUUGUUCGGAAUUACUGGGCGUAAAGGGCUCGUAGGCGGCCAACUAAGUCAGACGUGAAAUCCCUCGGCUUAACCGGGGAACUGCGUCUGAUACUGGAUGGCUUGAAUCCGGGAGAGGGAUGCGGAAUUCCAGGUGUAGCGGUGAAAUGCGUAGAUAUCGGGAGGAACAUCUGUGGCGAAGGCGACACCCUGGACCAGCACUGACACUGAGGCACGAAAGCGUGGGGAGCAAACAGG